CCUGUUGAUGAUGAGGAUCUUAUUCAUCAAGUUCUUGAGGGACUCCGUGAUGAGUACAAAUCUGUCGUUGAUGCGAUUAAUGCUCGUGAUAUGUUAAUUUCCUUUGUUGAAUUCCAUGAGAAACUCCUCAACC